GCGUCAUGCGUACAGCUGCUGACCGGCGCCCCUCUCACCCCACCUCACCUAGUGAGUGGCGCGUGGCAAGACAGGGAUGAGGGUGUCCUCCUCUCUCUUGCAACUCUAUGCCCAUGGCUGUGCGGUGACUCGCCUCACCCCACCCCAUCUGGACCAUGGCGUGAGGAGGCUCCCCACUCUCGCCUUGCCACUCGUUGCGCGCCCCACUACCUUUCCCCUUCGCUCGUGUUCGAUUCUAUAAAUGGGGAUCCUCCUCAGAUUCCCAGUAGUACCAGCCACCCGCCAUUAGGCUCUGCACAACUUGCGUGUCCGGCCCCCCUGCCGCCUCAUGUCUCGGUUAGUCCGAUAGUCAGUAGUUUGUCUCAACUCACCAUCACCAGAGAGCUGUAACGUAUGGAUAUCAACAUCUACCUGUACCUCCACCCUGCCACUGUAUGUAAACCAACCAACCGCUAGAGAGGAUCCCGUUGCGCGGAGCUUUAUAGCCGUGCCUUGUCAAUGUUCGCCUUUAGCGCCGGAUGCAAGGCCGCGCGCUGAUUGGACACGAGGGGCCGUCUCACAAAGGCGCCGCAACACAUUUUUAAAUUAAUUCGAAAAAGAGUAACUUCGACUGAUUCGGCCCUGUCGUCGCGCGUGCUUCGCGAGCGGAACUUAUCGACGCAUAAUCGCGCUACACGCGCCUCACACGAAUACCUUUCUGAAGGCGUAACAUCUGCUCCGCGGCCGCGGAGCGGCGAUGUGAAAGUGAGACAGACGCGAAGAGCGUAGAGGAGCAGCAACGAAGAAAAGGAAAAGUGGACGGCGUGGGUGCACAGACAAAAAAGGGAUACUAUUUUUUUAAAAUAUAAUACUACAGAACUAUAGUUCAACAAGAACAUUAUGAAAUGUUUCCGAAAAAACAUCGUGUCGGCCACCUAAUUUGUGGGCAGUGGCAGUAUUGCUUACAAAUAAUUCUAGCCUCUCAGCAAAUAUAUAAAUUGACAAUCA